CACUGCUACGCUCUGCCACCUCUGGCUGCUUGGUGGUCCUACAUUGAAGACGUUGAAAACUGAAUGACAUUGAGGCAACUAAAGAAAUGAGAGCUAUAAAAAGAGUGCAGUGGGAAAGUACAGACAUGGCGUGGAACCACCACCUGACUGUGAUGGUAAUAUCUGGUGACAUCCAACAGGCAGCAUGUGCCGUAUCGCAGUUCCAAGAUCACCCAGCUGCUGAGGGACUCCCUGGGAGGAAACUCCCAGACCUUGAUGAUAACCCGCAUUAGCCCGUCCUCCAGCAGCCUCCAUGAGACGCUCAGGUCGCUCCAGUUUGCCAACUGCGCUCGGGCCAUCCGCAACCAGCCAGUGGUGAACUGGGACAAAGGCAUGGAGCAACUGGGAGAACCUGAGCCAGAGGAAUGCACUCUGCAGGAACCUGUAUGGAACCAAGGAGGUGGCAGCUGGGUCUCCCACAAAGAGUAUGAACAAAGCCAAGCUCAGGCUCGAGCUCUUGUGGAAAAAAUAUCCAAGCAACAGAAGAAUCUCAACCAAUUCUGUAAUUUUAUGGAGGAUGUCGCCAACCUACUGAUGGAGCUCCUUGACUUCUUGGACCCUGCUUUAAGCCCCACCCAAAGCCGAGUACGGGAGCCGCAGGAGACAAACACGAUGGAGAUGCUGAAGCAGAA